GUACACUCCUGCGGGAGGCAGCAGUGAGGAAUAUUGGACAAUGGGUGGAAGCCUGAUCCAGCCAUCCCGCGUGCAGGAAGACGGCCCUAUGGGUUGUAAACUGCUUUUAUCUGGGGAUAAACCUACUUACGUGUAAGUAGCUGAAGGUACCAGUAGAAUAAGCACCGGCUAACUCCGUGCCAGCAGCCGCGGUAAUACGGAGGGUGCAAGCGUUAUCCGGAUUUAUUGGGUUUAAAGGGUCCGUAGGCGGACUGAUAAGUCAGUGGUGAAAUCCGACAGCUUAACUGUCGAACUGCCAUUGAUACUGUUAGUCUUGAGUAAGGUUGAAGUGGCUGGAAUAAGUAGUGUAGCGGUGAAAUGCAUAGAUAUUACUUAGAACACCAAUUGCGAAGGCAGGUCACUAAGUCUUAACUGACGCUGAUGGACGAAAGCGUGGGGAGCGAACAGGAUUAGAAACCCGUGUAGUCCCAUG
rnacentral:rRNA from 1 species